AUUGAACGCUGGCGGCAGGCCUAACACAUGCAAGUCGAGCGAGCGGCGGACGGGUGAGUAAUGUCUGGGAAACUGCCUGAUGGAGGGGGAUAACUACUGGAAAAGGUAGCUAAUACCGCACACCAUCAGAUGUGCCCAGAUGGGAUUAGCUAGUAGGUGGGGUAACGGCUCACCUAGGCGACGAUCCCGAGCUGGUCUGAGAGGAUGACCAGCCACACUGGAACGGAGCAACGGUCCCGCCUCCUACGGGAGGCAGCGGUGGGGAAGAUUGGACAAGGGGCGGAAGCCUGAUGCAGCCAUGCCGCGGGUGUGAAGAAGGCCUUCGGGUUGUAAAGCACUUUCAGCGUGGAGGCGUUACCCGCAGAAGAAGCACCGGCUAACUCCGUGCCAGCAGCCGCGGUAAUUC
rnacentral:rRNA from 1 species